rnacentral:misc_RNA from 1 species
GAUGAAGAACGCAGCGAAAUGCGAUAAGUAAUGUGAAUUGCAGAAUUCAGUGAAUCAUCGAAUCUUUGAACGCACAUUGCGCCCCCUGGUAUUCCGGGGGGCAUGCCUGUCCGAGCGUCAUUACAACCCUCAAGCUCAGCUUGGUAUUGGGCCCCGCCGACCCGGCGGGCCCUAAAGUCAGUGGCGGUGCCGUCCGGCUCCGAGCGUAGUAAUUCUUCUCGCUCUGGAGGUCCGGUCGUGUGCUCGCCAGCAACCCCCAAUUUUUUAAGGUUGACCUCGGAUCAGGUAGGGAUACCCGCUGAACUUAAGCAUAUCAAUAAGCGGAGGA